UGUUAGAAUUUAUGCUCUCAAUUAAAUUUAAUAAAAAGUUGGGUUCGAAAAAUAGCGAAGUUUUAGGCAUCCUAUUGACUUCAACAGAAAAUAUAAACUCUCAAUUAAAUUUCAGAAAUUUUCCUAGUUAAUAUUCAUGUCACUAUUUCUACAUCAAUAAGAUCCUAUAAAGUCUAUAUUUUUCUCAUUGUUUUCUACAAUUGCUUCUCUCCAGACUGCACAUGUAGUACAUUGCUGUUCUGAAACUUCACAAGAAAAAACCUUCUUUGUAGCCUGUAUCAAGAUUCUAGUAAUAGAGUAAAAGAGACUUUCCUGUGUUGGUAUAUGGGAAUUACUCUGCAAGAAAAUUUUGAUGAUUAGGUUAUUAGAUAAAAAAGCCAACAACAUUUGCUAGCACUUCUUGCUGCUUGGCGUUCAAUGAGAACAAGAUUGGGUUCAACACAGUUUGUGGGAAUAUUCUCCAUAUUUGCUUUAGCAAAUCUAUCAUUCGUCUCGCAGUGUGUGCUGUGGCCAAAUUGCUUCCCUGACUAAUAACCUCAAGAAAAGCAACAACAAUUUUAUAAAGGUGUUCGCAACUGGGCCCGAAAAGUUCUCUGUCUAACCUUUCAACCAUCGAACAAAGCUGUUCAUGCACAGAUUUGGCCUCAGUUAAAUCCUCUUUGAUAGGCAAGAAGCUUAACCAGGUGGGAACAAGCUGUCAAAGAUUAACCUGAUCAACAAACUGAUUGCUUGAUAUUGCCGAGCAGAAUAUCAAUGAGAAGAUACAGCAUGUAUAACAUAAUGUAUUUAGUAGACCUAGUGCAUGAGAUUCGGUCAGAGUUGAAAGAAUGGCAAAUGAUUGAUCAGCAAUGAGGUGAGGCAAAUAAAAUAGUCAAGAAUCACUUGACUAGGGUAAACAGACAGUGAUACCAAAACUGCAACAUCCAUUGCAUUGCAUCAUCUGAAAAGCUAAUCUCUUAGAGCACUAAUAAAUCUGACAUUAUAAAUUAAAUUGCAGCCUCUGCUUUAUUUUCCUUUAUAAGGCUGGUUACAUGACUUUGCUUUCAGAGCUGCAAUUAUAUAAAUAGAUUCAUUACUUGGAAUAUGCAUGGCACCAUCAGAAUCCUAAAAUUUGUUGAAUAAUUGUUAGAGAUAAGUUAUUCUUCAAUCAGGUCCCGUAUAACCGACUGAAACUCGUCAUCUAAAAAGGUUAAAAUUUGAACUUAAAUUUUAAUACCAUGUGUAACUAUCCAGUUACUUACAGUAGGGCAGCACAUAAUUGUGCCAAUGUUUGAACUCCUGGCUCCCCGUUGCUAUGCUGGAGCCCAUGAAUUUCUCGUCAUAUCUCUUCACAUAAUUUUAUCAAUCUUAGUUGCAUUUAUGAUGUCACGAUGAAACUCACAUAUUUUUCCAAUAGCAGAAACUGCAAUAUCAGAUGCCUUUAAGUCCUCUAUACAUGAUCGAUUAGGAUAUGCCAUUACAACAUUUAGUUUUGAAAGGGCACUUUUAAUAAAAGGUUUGAACUGAGAUCCACCAAACUCUGCACAAAUCCGGAUUCCGAAUGUAGCUUCCUUUCGGAGCUCUGAAUUCUGGUCAGUGCAGGUUUCCAAUAAGACUGGAAGAUACAUAGCACAGUGCUUGACACAUGCUUCGGAACUUUGUUUUACUAUAGUGUUGAAAGUGCACAAUGCAAUGGAUCUGCAUCUGUCAGUUCCGUUAUUACCCUGCAUGGAAAACACAAAAGGAUGGGAGGCCAGAAACCCUCUAUAAAUUAUAAGGUAAAACUCAUCCCAGAAGAUAAAGGAAAAACCUAUGCAAAUAUGACAAGAUUUCAUUCAGUUACCAGCGUAAACCUAAACCUAUUUGAGCAUUAAUUAACCAAAUGAAGGUUCAAAGUGUUGUAUUUUGGCUCUUCUAAAUAAAUUGGAGAAUCCACUCAUACAAAAAUAGAUUAGUUGGAAUGGUGAAUAAUUUUGAAUAUAUGCAAUGAGUUUAUGCAUCAUGCAACAGAUUUAUCGUAGCAAGAAUAGUGACAUUUUUUUUAUUCUUUUGCAUAAUUUUGCAGAGGUAAAUGUGUUCUUUAAGGUGGGAAUGAAAAUUUGAGACUUUACCAGUAGCAGUGCAAGCAAUUUUCUUAAUACAAUAUCCAAAUCCAUACACAUAAUUAAGCAACCUUGAGACAUGCACUUCACAAAGAAGAACAGUGCUGAGGCAACUUCUUCCUCCAGUCUAGGAUUUUGUUUUUUGUCAAGUGUAGCAACAAGUGCAGGCACAAUCCUUGGAUGAUGAAGAAUUUGAAUUGCGCCAACCAGAACUGUAGGCAGUUGCAUAAAAUGAAAAGCUGCCCAACAAACUCUGGGGUGAGAAUCUUGGAACGAUGUCAAAAUUAUGGUCACAGCUUGCUGCAAAUAAUCUUCCAACAUUAUCAUUUCAUCUGAGCACUCCUUAGAAAUCACACCAAGCAUAGUUAUCCCAGCAUGACGUCCCUGCCAUUCUAGUGCAUCCAUAUACACGGGUAAAAAUUUAAAAGCAAUGGGCACUAUGUUCUUUCCACCUAAAACUAUUGACAUCUGGUUCAAGCACUUGAUUCCAUAGUUAUAGGUGUCAGUUUUCCCUACAUUAUCACCCUCUAUAUUUCCCAUCUCAUACCACGCAACAUCAUCUUGGAUACCAAGUAGCAUUCUCAUUGGAAGAAUGAACAACCCAACCAUACAUUCAAAGGGCAGCAUCCGCAUUGCGGGUGCCAAAUCUUUGGCCUCUAUCAUGGUCAUCAAGAACUGAACUGCACAAUGUUUCGUUUCAUCCUUAUGAAUUCUACUCUCAGUAAUCUGAAGCAUGUAUGAAACUAAAUUAUUCAGGUGGGGCCUCAAGAUUUGAGGCGCUUCCAUCACCAAGUAAAUUAACUCCUUUAGACCCUUUUGAGCAUACUCCUCUUUUUCAGCUUUCAGUAGAUCAAAGAUUCCCAUUAUCAUUUCCCGCAACAAGUCAUUGAACCAAUCACGCCCUAAAGACCCUGAGAACAAAGGCAAUAAACUAAUGACAGCUCCAAAAGCAGCAAUCUUUACAUCAACAUUUUUUGAAGCCAAUGCACGAAAAAGUCCCCCAUGCAAAAGCCCAAUUCGAGGUAAUAAAGCUUUACAAAUCGACCUCCUACAAUGACAAGGAAUAUAAGCAAACACCAACAAAGCAGUUUCUUGAAACUUGUCAUUCUCCAAUGCAAGAGACCUUCCUAAAAAAUCAAGAAGCUCUUGCCAUUGGUCUUGACCUUUAUAAACUUCACCGGCUAUAUCAGAUACAAUCCCACAAAGAAUCCUUAAAGAGGGCAUAAAAUCCUCUGUUUGAAGGCAAUCAAGAAUUUGGGUUUUCAUAUUAACUUGAGCCUGAGGAGUUAACUUAGGCCACAAGUUUUGGACUUGGACAAACCUGAGGAGACGGGCGGAAUUUGCACGGAUGUCAAUGUUAGAGGCAUAUCUAAGAAGAUAAAAAAGCUUUAUAAAAAGAAGACAUGGGUGGUGAUCUUGACAACAGAGGAGGAGAUUAUGGGCAUGGGAUCUUUGUGGUUCUUGAGGAGAAAGCAGACGAGAAAAGAGGGUUUCCAUUGGUUUGACAUCAUUGGAGCUCAAAAUCUCGUAUGCUUGGGUUUGCAAUUGCUCUGAGAACUGGGAAGACUCCAUCUUGGUUUUGUGUGAUCUUACAGAAUCUCUUGAAAAAGAAAAAAUGCAACAGAAAUUUCUUAUGACACGAAGGGGUUUUAUGGUGUGUGGGUGAACUGAGG
rnacentral:misc_RNA from 1 species